rnacentral:rRNA from 1 species
AUGUUAGCAAAGCAGUGUUGGCGACUGAUCCAUAAUCCUGACUCUUUGUGUGCACAGGUGUUAGGUGCAAAAUACUAUCCGGAUGGCAAUAUCCUGCAUGCUGGACCGAAGAAAGGCUCCUCGUUCACAUGGCAAAGUAUCUUUGGCGGGAUACAAACGUUCAAGCGGGGGUGUAUUUGGAGGGUGGGUACGGGCUCACAGAUCAAUAUCUUGGAGGACCCAUGGAUUCCAUCAAGCCCGACCAGGAAAGUAAUUACCCCUCGAGGGGGAGUUAUGUUGUCAAAAGCGCAAGAUAUAAUUGACCCACAUACGGGUCAGUGGGAUGAGGCACUUAUUCAGAGUGUGUUCUCACCAGUUGAUGUAAGUAGAAUAUUACAAAUCCCACUCCAAGUUGAAUUUACAGAAGAUCUUGUGGCAUGGCAAUUCACCAAGUCUGGAACAUUUCCAGUACGCUCGGCUUAUUAUGUGGAGUUUGAUCACCAGUUCGGUCGGCAUUACAGAGAAGUUAAUAGUCCUGGAACUGCUCAGCUAUACGGGGUCUAG